rnacentral:misc_RNA from 1 species
UCUCCGUUGGUGAACCAGCGGAGGGAUCAUUACAGGACUCGCAAGACUCCUUCACCCUGUGAACCUCACUACAAGCACGUUGCUUCGGCGGGUGUCCCGGCGGGGGUUUUCCCUCACCGGGGCGCACAGCCCGCCGGCAGCCUACUAUACUCUGUCUCUUUGCGUUGGCAUCUCGAGAAAAAACAAACAAGUUUAAACUUUCAACAACGGAUCUCUUGGUUCUG